UUGGAUGCAAAAUUAACAAGAGCAGAAAAAAUUGAAAAUUUAUCUACAUUUACAAACAUGUAGGUCAAAAUUGUUUUUGUAAAGUGAUCUGAUGGAACAGGUGAGCCUUUGAGUUUACAAGUGUAUAUAAAUAGUGGUGAUCAGUCCACAGGCUUACAACUGAAAAAAUAUUUGUUUUUUAAUUUUUUGGAAGUUUACCCAGUAUAUUUGAAUGAAAAAUGGAGAUCAACAAAAUUCAGUACAUAGAUGCUUUGAAUAGAAAUGAUAAUCAUAAACAAGAAAUUGUUUUGAAAAUAAAAAAUGAGCAUAAAUGGAUUUAAGUGUAUUAUCCUUAAGUUUGUAUCUUAACAUAGAGGGUACCUUGGACAUUAAAGGGACUGGUUCACGAUUUUUGAUAAAAAUAUUUUUCAUUUUUGAUGUUAAACAUUAGAAAUAUAGCUCAUUUAAUGUUGACAGCCAAAAUUUUGACCUUCUGAAUGCAAGAAUAAAAGUAAUAUUUUAGCCUUGAAUAUGUGUUAUGUAAACAAAGACUCGAGUCUUUUUAUGUAAACAAACAAACAAGUGAAAUAUUGAUUUUGCAAUAUAAUGCAUAGUAACAAAUUUUAACUUUUAGGUGACACAUUUCACCCCAAAAAUGCUUGAAAUGUGAAAGAUAUAAUGAUACUUAGAUCGAUAUCCAUUUCUUUUGAAAUUUCGUAAACAAUAGCAUACCGCAAUCUUUGUUUACAAAACAAAUAAUAAACUUUCUAAAAUGAGCUUCUGUGAUGAUGUAUAACCUUAAUUUUCAUGUAAAAUCUUUCAAACACAUUAGACAGUAGAUUUUGAUCAUUAAAAGUGAAAAACAAAAUUUUGGGUAAAAUCGUGAGUCAGUCCCUUUAAUAUUUUUAAUCAAGUGGUUGUGCAUGAGCUUACAAGUAUUCCAGUAAAAAUUAUGUGGGUGGGGUAUAUUGCUGGUUUUUUUUUUUCUUUGGGUGGGGUUUUGUUUAUAUUUUUGUUGUAGAGGGUGGGGUUAGAUGAUUUAAUGUUUUACUGUUAGUGGAAGGUUCCAGUGUGAAGCCCAAAUGAAAUUAUAAUGAAGUUUAAUAAAAUAUGUAUCUUCAUGAAAUAAAGAGUCUGAUUUUUAAUACUUUGUUGUUUUUCUUAAAAAAACAUUAGGUGUUGAUGUUAUCAUGGAAGUAAGAGAGUUAUCUUCCAAGAAGCUGUUUAAGUGAGAUAUGGUAUGCAUACAUGCCAACUUUCCCGAUUUAGGCGGGAUCUUCCCGAUUUUACCCUCCGGUCCCGCUUUCCCGAUUGGGAAAGCAAAAUUACCCUAAAAUCCCGAUUUGAAAUUUUUUCCGACCAAAAUUUCCGAUUUCACGAUUGAAAACGAGUUUGAAAGCGGGAUAAUCGUGAAAUCUCGUGACCAGAAUUGGAAAUCCCGUGUCAUUUCUGAACUGGCCAAUCAGAAAUCGGGACAAUAGUCAGCCAUUGCUGUUUACCUGUGUCGCAUGGUGUCGGGUUGGCCUGUGUCGGGGUGUUUAUUGGACAGUACGAAGCAUGUUUUGAUAGUAAUUAAUCGGGAAGACGGAUUUCAAAUUGACCUAUCCUUUACACAAACGUGAAUGACAACGAUGCUAGUGUCACCACCAAACAAUCGGACAUUCCGCCUCUCGCUGACAGCAUCCAAAAUUUGCAAUAAGAUGUCAUGGGUGCAAAGGUUUUGUUCGCAAACUUCAUAGCAGGGCAGAUCACUCCUUUUUGGUUGCAAUGCAGAUUAUUCCACCAGUCUCUGCAAGCCCAUGUUUACAGACAAGCAAGAUCGCCUUUGCAGUCGUACCUAAAUGCAUGUGAUUUAAUUUAAAUUUUGAUAUAUAGACCGGCCAAUGUUUAUUGUAUGGUGUAAAAGGAUGCAACCUUAAAUAUUAUUUGAUAUUAUGUAUGUGACUUGUUGGAGAAGAUUUUUUGCUGAAUAGAUGAUUUUAAUAAAAUAUUAAUGUAUAUC